rnacentral:rRNA from 1 species
CGCGUAGGCGGUGCUGUAAGUCAGGCGUGAAAUCCCCGGGCUCAGCCUGGGAAUUGCGCAUGAUACUGCGGCGCUGGAAUGCGGGAGAGGAUGGCGGAAUUCCCAGUGUAGAGGUGAAAUUCGUAGAUAUUGGGAAGAACACCGGUGGCGAAGGCGGCCAUCUGGCCCGUGAUUGACGCUGAGGCGCGAAAGCGUGGGAGCAAACA